GGUUGGGGAUGUGCUCAAAACACUGACAAAGUAUGUCUGUACAAGAUUCCAGUUGUGGAGGCACCAGCAUAAGAGGUGCCACUCUCUCACUCCUUUCCAGACUGGGACAUUUUGCAGCUUCAGGGCUUCCUGAGCUGAAAGUUAAUCUGUAACUUCUUGUUUAAUAGCCCUUGAUGGACUUCUGCCAAUUUGCUUAAAUAUUUGUACUGCGGGCCCUUUGGAUGCCCCGUUGUGAGGAGUGACGAAGCUGGAGAUGUAUUUCAGCAAUGCUCUGGAGUCUCUGUUUUUCCUGAUGCAUUACAUUUUUGUGGUUGCUUCUAAGGCCUCCCACAUCCCCGACCUCUCUGCAGGAGCAGCACCUCUGCAGGCAGCCACCAAGGACCUGCUGUGCAAACUGUUGAGCUAGUGCUGGGGCUUGGCAUGGAUCCCACAAGGCUCUGCUUGACAAAAGUAUGUUCUCAGCUGUGCCCAAAAACAGCACAGCUCAAACAACCACGCCAAUCCUUCCCUGCUGCGUUGUUUUCGCUCCACUUUCUCCUGGAUAUCUGCUGGGAGACUCACAUGUGUCCCAUCCUGAUGUCUACCUGGGCGGGUCCAUCCCUUGUGUGUGCAGAACAGAUGCUCUCCCAGCUCCCUCUCCCCUGCGUGUUCCCUCUUUUUUUUUUUUUUCUUCUUUUUUUUCUCCCCACUAUUCAGGAGCUCAGGUUAUUUUAAUGCAGUAAACAUUUUUUUUCUGACAGUUAGUGACAUGAAUAAAUCCGUUUCCUCUCCUCUCUCUACUUUUUGUUAUUUAAAGGGAGAAAAUGAUUAAAUCCAGCAGAGCCAAGCUGAAUUUUGCUAGCAGGAAAAGGGCGGCCAAUGAGGGUCUGUCUGUCAAGCAGCAGUUUGUGCUCAUCAGCAUCUUGGGAGAAGCAGGGUUGCCAGCUGCCUGCGAACAUCUGGUUCUGGUUGUACCCCACCCCCUUUGCUUUGCUUUACAUUGUUUCUCUGGUUUUAUAGUUUAUCAUUACUGAAUCUAAGUGUAGGAUGUGACAAGGGAAACAGCUUAGAUUCCUCUCUUCUACUUGAGCACCAGAAUGCGGGGGCACAGAUUGAACAAGGGGCAGCCAGAGCCAUAAAAAACAUCCGUGUGGUAGCAGGUUUCUUCAGGAAAAGCUCUUUCUGCUCUGCUAAUGUGAUGCCAGCCAGAGGAUGCACAGGAGGGGAAGCCAAGGAUGCGUGGUUCUUGGCCUCGGUGGCAUGGAAACAUAAGCGGUUAUAGCAGAGGAAACCGUGGUAGAGUUAAUUGUCACAUUUAAAAGGUGGAAUUGAAUGGCAGCACUUUGCAGUUAUUGGAGUUAACUUUUUCAGCUCCCUGCUGUGCCAUAAGGAGCUGAAUGUGGGAGGAGCAGGCAAAAGCGGGGCUGCCUUUGGCUGCCCUUCCUAUCCCUGAGCUUCCAGGCUGCAGGAAAGAUGUUUGGGAUGGAAAAACCUCCGAGGGUGGUGCAGGGUGGCACAGUGGCUGGGUUUGGUGAGUUCCUCUGAGCAGCACCUUUGCUGCUCAUGGAGGAUGCAGAAGUGUUGAGUCCCAUCCUCAUAUUCUAUCAAUUCUGAAGGUGCUCAUUAUGGUUGAUGAAGCAAGGGCCAAAUGUGCUGUGCUCGUGGUUGUCCAGCUUGGCUUCACUAGCGUACCCUGAAGACCGUGGCUCAGCAUCGCAGUGGUGAGGAUCCUGCGGCGUGGAGUGAUGGGGAUGGGUGAUACUGAGGGAGGAAAAUUCCCAGUAAUCGUAUUUGGUGUCUGGCUGUACCUUGCUAGAGGGGAGUUCUGUUCUGCUAAAAAGCACGCAGCAGACAUGUGCCAAAAGGAGCAGAUUGAUGGAGAAAACAGAGCAGACUCCUUCUCUCAGCAUCAAAACAGGGCUCCUGGCCUCACCUGCGUGCAUCCUGGUGCCUGUAUUUCACUGGGAUGGGUUGUGCCUCCAGAAAAUAGAGGAUGACUUGCAAUAUUUCAGGUUUUCCUGAAGUCCUCCUUUCGCCUGCCUGUCUUUUUCCUUCUGUCUUCUGUGCUUCCGAUGACUGACUUUAUUAUCUUUGCUAUUUCCAACCCUUUUUUUAGUCUCCUCCGGAGCUUGCUUUCUGCUGGGGGGGAAGAUGGAAAAGGUCAGACUCUCACUAGUGAAGCUUACUUAAUUUGCUUGCCACAUCUAUGUGCAAACUUGCAUGCAUGUUGGUGUGAAGGACCAGGACCAGCAUCGAUGCAGGCCAACGGCUGCUUUUUUGUUUACCUCCUCUUUUCUUUUCUGUUUUUCUUUUCUCCCAUCUGGCCCAAUAUUCCCACUUUCACCUCUUCUACAAGAGAAGAGCUUAGUGGACUCCAAACAGUAAAUAAAGCUGACAUUUGCAGCAGGCAGGCUGAUGCAGCAGGACAGGGAUGCAGCCGCACUCUUUGUUUGGACUUCUUUCCUCUCUUUAUUUAAAGCCUCUUUUAAUCAGGAGCUAAUGACAACUUUUGGUUGUCAGAGUGGAUGCACAUGAAAAAUAAAACCAACACCACAGUUUGCAUUCAAAAUAACGAAAACCGUUAUAAAUAGGAAGAUCUGCAAGGAUAUAAUCAAGCUAAAUUGCCCAUUGUUGCUCUCACUGUAGAUGAUUUCUUGUCUCUGCAAUCUGGGUUGGGUUGUCUGGGUUUGGGGAAGACGUCUUCUCUCUUUAUCACUGUUACAAAUCCAUGCAGCAGCAUCUGGUUGAUAGUAGUUUUAGGGUGUUUUGGUGUUUUUUCUUUUUUGGCAUGUGUGUGUGGAUCAAGCAAAUCUUUGGGUGACCUGGGUGUUUCUGGUCAGAUUGUCAAAUAGCCCCUCUCUUUCUGCAGCUAAACUGACCCUAAAAACAGACCAAUCUCCUCAGGGAGUAUGCUGCAGACAGACAUGGAGAAGUGCAGCAACAGGUUGCAGCAGCAGCCUGCCAGCAAGCAGCUCUGACUGGGGAAUAGCAAAACUCUCUUUGCCUGCAGAUGGUGUGCAAUGAGCUCGCGAUGCUAAUGACACCACGCAAUUUACCCUAUUGAAAGUAGCUGAGCCUCUAUAGAAUUUGGAGCUGAUGCUGAAGUCUCCAAACAUAUCUUAAGGCAUUUGAGACUUGGGUGUUUUUUGUUCUAGUCUUCCUCAUGUGUGUUUACAUGAAUGCAGGAUAAAAGCUGCUCGCUUUGUUGUGCUUUUAUAGCAAUAACGCAUUGCAGGGACAGCUUAGGAAUUGGGUGGCAGCAUUCUGGCUCUUUGAUUUUUCUAUGCAACGUCCCUGGUUUUGUAUAGUUGAGCUGCUUUUCACUGGGCACUGCUCUGAGAAGUGCAGAUGUCAUCGGUACCUGACAACGUGACAAAGCUGUCACGGUUAUGUAAGGCAAGCAGCACUGCACAGUGUCACCUUUGUCCCCAAACAGUCUUUUGCUCAUCUGUUCUGCAUGUGGCUCUCUCUUGGAGCAUUUUCCCCUUUGCUUCACUGCAUGCAGAGCAACAAAUGGUCGCAUCCUGAGGGUUCCUGGCUGGAACUGUGUCCAUCAUUGGGAGUCAUUUUUCUGCUGCUGUCCUUCCAGCUGUGGGUGUUAUGCUGGCAUCUGUAUGUGAAAGAUGAAGGUUUGUGGUCUGACUUCAUGCCUUGCUCAGGAAACUUCCCCCUCAGCCCCCUCACCUCCAGUUGUUUGGCUGAGACUCAGUUCAUCUUUAUUGCUAUUUUUCUGAUUUUCCUCCGGGCUCCUAAUGGCUGUGAUUAUACCAAAUGCAGAGCAUUUCGUGUACUGUAGGAAUGAUUUCCAGGCCCAACUGCCUUACUCAAUGCUUGAGGAUCAUUAAAGACAUUACUUUUUAUAAGCCAGUUUUUUUUUUACCUGCCCCAAUCUACUUCCAAUUCUAUGCUAACCUGCAAAGUAAUAAAAUUGCUGAAUUUA